ACCUGGGUGGCUUGGUCGGUUGAGCACCUGACUUCGGCUCAGGUCAUGAUCACAGUUUGUGGGUUUGAGCCCCGUGUCAGGUU
rnacentral:tRNA from 1 species